CCCAUCCCCCCGGGAUUGGGGAAAAGGGGGGGAAGGGGUUUUAAAACGGGAUACGAGGUGGGGAGGCUUUUUCAGGAAGGGGAAAGAAUUUUGGUAAGGGAAGACCUCGCGCCUUUUAAGUUAGUGGGGGGGUAACGGCUCCCCCGGGGGUUGGGGGGUUCCCCGCCUGGGGGGGUCACCGCCCCCCGGGGAUUGAGCCCCGCCCCAUUUUCUUCGGGAGGCAGCGGGGGGAAUUUUGCCCAAGGGGCGCAAGCUUGAUGCAGCAACCGCGGCGUGAGGGAAGACGGCCUUUGGGUUGUAAACCUCUUUUAGCAGGGAAGAAGCGAAAGUGACGGUACCUGCAGAAAAAGCGCGGGCUAAUUACGUGCCAGCAGCCGCGGUAAUACGUAGGGCGCAAGCGUUAUCCGGAAUUAUUGGGCGUAAAGAGCUCGUAGGCGGUCUGUCGCGUCUGCUGUGAAAACCCGAGGCUCAACCUCGGGCCUGCAGUGGGUACGGGCAGACUAGAGUGCGGUAGGGGAGAUUGGAAUUCCUGGUGUAGCGGUGGAAUGCGCAGAUAUCAGGAGGAACACCGAUGGCGAAGGCAGAUCUUUGGGCCGUAACUGACGCUGAGGAGCGAAAGGGUGGGGAGCAAACAGGCUUAGAUACCCUGGUAGUCCACCCCGUAAACGUUGGGAACUAGUUGUGGGGACCUUUCCACGGUUUCCGUGACGCAGCUAACGCAUUAAGUUCCCCGCCUGGGGAGUACGGCCGCAAGGCUAAAACUCAAAGGAAUUGACGGGGACCCGCACAAGCGGCGGAGCAUGCGGAUUAAUUCGAUGCAACGCGAAGAACCUUACCAAGGCUUGACAUAUAGAGGAAACGGCUGGAAACAGUCGCCCCGCAAGGUCUCUAUACAGGUGGUGCAUGGUUGUCGUCAGCUCGUGUCGUGAGAUGUUGGGUUAAGUCCCGCAACGAGCGCAACCCUCCUUCUAUGUUGCCAGCACGUAAUGGUGGGAACUCA
rnacentral:rRNA from 2 species